UAGGGAAUCUUCCGCAAUGGACGCAAGUCUGACGGAGCAACGCCGCGUGAGUGAAGAAGGUUUUCGGAUCGUAAAACUCUGUUGUUAGAGAAGAACAAGUGCUAGAGUAACUGUUAGCGCCUUGACGGUAUCUAACCAGAAAGCCACGGCUAACUACGUGCCAGCAGCCGCGGUAAUACGUAGGUGGCAAGCGUUGUCCGGAUUUAUUGGGCGUAAAGCGAGCGCAGGCGGUUCCUUAAGUCUGAUGUGAAAGCCCCCGGCUCAACCGGGGAGGGUCAUUGGAAACUGGGGAACUUGAGUGCAGAAGAGGAGAGUGGAAUUCCAUGUGUAGCGGUGAAAUGCGUAGAUAUAUGGAGGAACACCAGUGGCGAAGGCGACUCUCUGGUCUGUAACUGACGCUGAGGCUCGAAAGCGUAGGUAGCAAACAGGAUUAGAUACCCUGGUAGUCCACGCCGUAAACGAUGAGUGCUAAGUGUUGGAGGGUUUCCGCCCUUCAGUGCUGCAGUUAACGCAUUAAGCACUCCGCCUGGGGAGUACGACCGCUG
rnacentral:rRNA from 1 species